rnacentral:rRNA from 1 species
UACGGGGGGGGCAAGCGUUGUUCGGAAUUACUGGGCGUAAAGGGCUCGUAGGUGGCCAACUAAGUCGGACGUGAAAUCCCUCAGCUUAACUGGGGAACUGCGUCCGAUACUGGAUGGCUCGAGUUCGGUAGGGGAGACUGGAAUUCCUGGUGUAGCGGUGAAAUGCGCAGAUAUCAGGAGGAACACCGGUGGCGAAGGCGGGUCUCUGGGCCGAUACUGACGCUGAGGAGCGAAAGCGUGGGGAGCGAACAGG